GAUGAACGCUGGCGGCGCGCCUAACACAUGCAAGUCGAACGGUUAAAGCACCUUUUAGGUGUGUAUAAAGUGGCGAACGGCUGAGUAACACGUGGGCAACCUGCCCUCCUCUUGGGGAUAGCCUCGGGAAACCGAGGAUAAUACCCGAUACUUCAAUGUGGCCGCAUGACGACAUUGAGAAAGCUUUUGCGGAGAAGGAUGGGCCCGCGGCCUGUUAGUUUGUUGGUGGGGUAGAGGCCUACCAAGGCAAUGAUGGGUAGCUGGGUUGAGAGACCGACCAGCCAGAUUGGGACUGAGACACGGCCCAGACUCCUACGGGAGGCAGCAGUGGGGAAUCUUGCACAAUGGGCGAAAGCCUGAUGCAGCGACGCCGCGUGCGGGACGAAGGCCUUCGGGUUGUAAACCGCUUUCAGCAGGGACGAGGCGAUAAGUGACGGUACCUGCAGAAGAAGCCCCGGCUAACUACGUG
rnacentral:rRNA from 1 species